GUAGUCGUGGCCGAGUGGUUAAGGCGACGGACUAGAAAUCCAUUGGGUUCUUCCCGCGUAUGUUAGAAUACUACCGACUACG